UACGAAGGGGGCUAGCGUUGCUCGGAAUUACUGGGCGUAAAGCGUGCGUAGGCGGUUUGUUAAGUCUGCUGUGAAAUCCCCGGGCUCAACCUGGGAAUGGCAGUGGAUACUGGCAAGCUAGAGUGUGUCAGAGGAUGGUGGAAUUCCCGGUGUAGCGGUGAAAUGCGUAGAGAUCGGGAGGAACAUCAGUGGCGAAGGCGGCCAUCUGGGACAACACUGACGCUGAGGCACGAAAGCGUGGGGAGCAAACAGGGAU
rnacentral:rRNA from 1 species